GCUGAUCCACGUGACCUCUUCUGCCUUCACUGGGCUGGGGUGAUCCUUGGUGCCUUUGUUUCCACAAGGCCUUUUCCUGCCCCCUGCCUUGCCAAAGACAUUUAAUCAGCACACAGCUGCCAGACUAUUCCCACAGUGCUCCAAAUGCACAUGAACAACAGUGACGGCUCCAGCCUUCGACCCAGAGCCCCGUGCCCAGUGCGUCAGUGGGCCUGGGGUUCCAGGCUACAUCAAGCACUGAUGGUGUCAGGGCUGGUAGUUACCAAAUCAGGGUUAAGAAACAUCAGGGCCACAUUUCACUACCUUC
rnacentral:lncRNA from 1 species